AACUUCACCGUUUAUUCUUUUCUUAUCACCAGUAGGUUGAUAGGAGAUCGAGCGCCAAUAACCCUGAGGUUUGAGACUGAAUCACGGCAUAGUUAGGGGUGUGCAUGGUUCAAAACCAUAACCAAAUUGAACCAAAUAUAUGGAUCAGUUUGGUUUUUAAAACCACUUUGAUAAAACCGAUUUAUAUUUUUAAAAUCGGUUUAUGUUUGGAUCGGUUUGGUUAAUAACCGGUUUGUACUAAAAAAAUUAAUUUUUGUUUGGAUCAAUUUUAAAACCAAAUUUCCCUCAAAUUUAAUUUUUAUUCCAACAACUUAUUAACUCUAUCCAAUCGCUCUUGAAAUCAAUCACUAUUUUUAAAUUUCAAUCUGAAAAAUCAAAAUUAAGUAAUUAUCUAUAAGAUAGAAAAAAAAAUCAAUUUUAAAAAAAGAAUUUUAAAUCGAUAUUUUUCAAACCAGUUUUUCAUUUUCUUUAAAAAAACAGUUUUAUAAAAAAAAACAAUUUUAUAAAAAAAACAAUUUAAAAAAAUUAUAAAAAUAAAUCAGGUUUAAAAAAUUAUACGAUACGGUUUUAUUGACAGUAGUUUUUUGCAGCUUCUCAAUUUUAUUUAAGAGGAUAAUGAUCAACAAUGUCACAUUUAAUUUUACAAUAAUAAAAAAGUAAAGUAAUUGCCACGUCAUAAAAAUAACUGACUAGUUGUAAGGAGAUUAAAAAUGAUAAAAUUUUCGUUGACUUUUUUCAAACUCACAAAUAAAUAGGGACGAAAUUGCCAACUUGUUUUCAGUUUGUUUUCUUUUGGCAAAUAUCCAAAUAUACAGGAAAAAAACAUUGAAAAACAAAUUGUAUACUAAUACUAUAUUUUCUAUACAAAUCUUUAAAAACAGAAAUCAAUAGAAACAAUUCACAACCAAUUAAAGCUAAGAAAAUGGAAAAAAAUAACUUCAUAAUACAACACACAAUUACAAAAUUACAAAUUUACUACUCACAGAAUUUGACUUGAACAUUGUUAAAGAACACCAACAUGAAAGCAAAUAUCACAACUUUCAAUACCAUUUACAAUACGAUGCAGGUUUUGAUGAGUUUGGAAUUUGAAGAAUGAUGAAGAGAAAAAAAAAUGAAAAAAGUUUGGAUUUUUGAGACUUAGGGAUUCUGAAAUUUGUGUUUUUGGUUGAUUUGAAAUGAUUAUUGAAAAAUGGUAACCGUUUACUUGAACCGGUUUGUAAUAAUGGUUACCGGUUUUUUUUAAUUUGAUAAAUGGAUCACCAAUUUCAAAAUAUAAUUUUGGAUUGGGUUUUAAAGUUUGGAUCAAUUUGGAUAAGAAUUUGGUUCAUGGUUAUUGGUUAUUUUGCACACCCCUAGGCAUAGUCGUCAUUUAACUUGAUUAUGAACCUCUAGGUUUCUUGAUAGUCUUCGAUCCGUUUAGAGACCUAGGCUUAAAAUCGUGAGGAAUUAAUGAGGUAUUUGGACUCGGGAAGUGAAGGCGAAGUUAGUGGUGAACUUGAAUUCGAUUUCUGGUAACCACCGCCGCCGGAAGCGAUUUUCGGCGCGGCGGUCCACGACGAGGGCGACGGAAGCAUAAACUGGAGUUAUGAACAAAUCUGGCGCGUAUCCCUUAUUUUCAAUUCCGUGCCGUCAUCCAAUCAGGAUAUUCCACGUGUUAGAUGUG
rnacentral:lncRNA from 1 species